rnacentral:lncRNA from 10 species
UGGCUUAUGAACAGUAGAAAUUUAUUUGUCGCAGUUUUGGAGGAUGGGAAGUCCAAGAUCAAGGCAGAUUGGGUGUCCGGGAAGGGCUCGUUUUCCGGCUUAUGGAUGGCCGUCUUCCCACUGUGUCCUCACGCGGUGAAAGGGACGGGGGUCUCGUGAGAGCCUCUGUUAUGACGGCACUAAUCCCACUCAUGAAGCCUCCACCCUCGUGACUGAAUCACCCCCACAAAGGCGCCAUCUCCUAAACCCAUCAACUUAGGAAUUGGGAUUUCAACAUAUGUUGGGGACACCAACAUUAAGACCAUAACAGGACAAAACAUUGUGCAGCUGACAUCGGUGCUGGCUUCGUUGUGAUGAAAUGUGGCUUCUUUACACCCAUGGUCCAGACAAGGACACGGAGGCCCCAGGAUGCUGACCUGGGAGUGAAGGAGCGUGUGUGCUGGGCG